rnacentral:rRNA from 1 species
CCAAUAGCGUAUAUUAAAGUUGUUGCAGUUAAAAAGCUCGUAGUUGAAUUUCGGGAUCAGCGCGUCGGUCGUGCCUCCGGUAUGCACUGGCGCCGCUGGUUUCUCCCCUCUGAGGAACCGUGAUGUCAUUAAUUUGGUGUCGCGGGAAAUCAGGACUGUUACUUUGAAAAAAUUAGAGUGUUUAAAGCGGGCACGCGCUUGAAUACAUUAGCAUGGAAUAACGAAAUAGGACGUUCGAUCUUAUUUUGUUGGUUUCUAGGAUUGACGUAAUGAUUAAUAGGGAUAGUUGGGGGCAUUAGUAUUCAAUUGUCAGAGGUGAAAUUCUUGGAUUUAUUGAAGACUAACUACUGCGAAAGCAUUUGCCAAGGAUGUUUUCAUUAAUCAAGAACGAAAGUUAGGGGAUCGAAGACGAUCAGAUACCGUCGUAGUCUUAACCAUAAACUAUGCCGACUAGGGAUCGGAUGAUGUUAAUUUUAUAAUGACUCAUUCGGCGCCUUACG